UGUAGAUAGUGGUGUUGUAGUGUUGUAUACUGUAGAUAGUGGUAUUGUAGUGUUGUAUACUGUAGAUAGUGGUGUUGUAGUGUUGUAUACUGUAGAUAGUGGUGUUGUAGUGUUGUAUACUGUAGAUAGUGGUGUUGUAUACUGUAGAUAGUGGUGUUGUAGUGUUGUAUACUGUAGAUAGUGGUGUUGUAGUGUUGUAUACUGUAGAUAGUGGUGUUGUAGUGUGGUAUACUGUAGAUAGUGGUGUUGUAGUGUUGUAUACUGUAGAUAGUGGUGUUGUAUACUGUAGAUAGUGGUGUUGUAGUGUUGUAUACUGUAGAUAGUGGUGUUGUAUACUGUAGAUAGUGGUGUUGUAGUGUUGUAUACUGUAGAUAGUGGUGUUGUAUACUGUAGAUAGUGGUGUUGUAGUGUUGUAUACUGUAGAUAGUGGUGUUGUA
ensembl:lncRNA